rnacentral:rRNA from 1 species
UGUAAGCCUGCGAAGGUGUGCUGUGAGGCAUGCUGGAGGUAUCAGAAGUGCGAAUGCUGACAUAAGUAACGAUAAAGCGGGUGAAAAGCCCGCUCGCCGGAAGACCAAGGGUUCCUGUCCAACGUUAAUCGGGGCAGGGUGAGUCGACCCCUAAGGCGAGGCCGAAAGGCGUAGUCGAUGGGAAACAGGUUAAUAUUCCUGUACUUGGUGUUACUGCGAAGGGGGGACGGAGAAGGCUAUGUUGGCCGGGCGACGGUUGUCCCGGUUUAAGCGUGUAGGCUGGUUUUCCAGGCAAAUCCGGAAAAUCAAGGCUGAGGCGUGAUGACGAGGCACUACGGUGCUGAAGCAACAAAUGCCCUGCUUCCAGGAAAAGCCUCUAAGCAUCAGGUAACAUCAAAUCGUACCCCAAACCGACACAGGUGGUCAGGUAGAGAAUACCAAGGCGCUUGAGAGAACUCGGGUGAAGGAACUAGGCAAAAUGGUGCCGUAACUUCGGGAGAAGGCACGCUGAUAUGUAGGUGAAGCGACUUGCUCGUGGAGCUGAAAUCAGUCGAAGAUACCAGCUGGCUGCAACUGUUUAUUAAAAACACAGCACUGUGCAAACACGAAAGUGGACGUAUACGGUGUGACGCCUGCCCGGUGCCGGAAGGUUAAUUGAUGGGGUUAGCGCAAG